UACGGGGGGGUGCGAGCGUUGUCCGGAAUCACUGGGCGUAAAGGGCGCGUAGGUGGUUUGUACAGUCAGGUGUGAAAUUCCCGGGCUCAACCUGGGGGCUGCACUUGAUACGUAUGGACUGGAGUGGGGAAGAGGGUCGUGGAAUUCCCAGUGUAGAGGUGAAAUUCGUAGAUAUUGGGAAGAACACCGGUGGCGAAGGCGGCGACCUGGUCCUUGACUGACGCUGAGGCGCGAAAGCGUGGGGAGCAAACAGG
rnacentral:rRNA from 1 species